rnacentral:rRNA from 1 species
AUGGAGGCAGAGAGUACACUUAGUAAGCCGCAACCCCCCAAGUGUCGGCGUCCUGGGAUUGGGGGUACCCAGACUUGCCUGCCUGCGGCCCACGGCGUGGCUCCAUCGACGGCCUGGUAUGGCCCAGCUUCAACACCAACAGCUCAAGACCCUCACGAGGGGCCAAGCCUCGCGAGGCAGACGACACCAAGACCUCCUCUUGGGACGGCCUUCCCCGGCUGGCUCCCAAGGAGCGGAGAUAUCUAUGCAAGGUGCACCUCGCGAGGAUCGGAUGACAUGAGCCGUGAUGACCAAGGCCAGGCGGGCGCCAGCGGGCGCAGUGUACCGGUUUCCUAUUUGGUGCUACGGAGGCAAGCGCAGGCGCGGAGUUCCGAGGAAUUAAGCAAAGGUUUUCAUUUUGGUGCAACAAGACCAAUACCGCCAGGACGGCAGAGGUUUACCAAAGAUACACUGGUUGAUGGAGGUCUGGGUGAUCUACAAGCUUAUGAGGAUUUGGAUGAUCUAAAAACUUCUGAAGGCUUGGAUGACCUACAAGCUACUGAAUGUUUGCAAGACCAACAAUUAAGUUGGUGGAGUGAUUAUGUAAUGUGCCUUGUUUGUUGA